AGUCCAUGGUGGGGGCAUAACCUUAACACGUCCUUAAAUGACUUCCAUGCUUUGUAGAGUGAUUCCCCAUUCUUUCGAGUAAAAUUGAUUAUUUGGUUUCUAAAUU